CGUCAUUAUUAAACAUUUAAGUACAGCUCUGCAUGCACUCUCAUGAUGAUUUGACAAUAUUUUGCAAGUGAGAGAAGGCCAGCUAGCUGAGAAAGCAGCCUUUCCAAUUUGGACUCCAAUCUAGACAAUAAAAAAGAGAUCCUUAUCCUAUCGUCUACCUGUGUCCUGCUCAGUGCACUAGAAGAACAUAGCUAUAAAAAAUCAGGCAGUUUUAAAGACAUGGUUGCUCAAGGUUGUGCCCAGUGGGGUUGGAAGAUGGAGACACCACAACCUCUCUGACUAAGCUGUUCUAGUAACUAACUGUAAAAAAAAAAAUUUCCUCAUGUUAAAGUGGA